rnacentral:rRNA from 1 species
UACGUAGGGAGCGAGCGUUGUCCGGAUUUACUGGGUGUAAAGGGUGCGUAGGCGGGUCUGCAAGUCAGGCGUGAAAUACCGGAGCUUAACUCCGGGGCUGCGUUUGAAACUGUGGAUCUUGAGUGAAGUAGAGGCAGGCGGAAUUCCUAGUGUAGCGGUGAAAUGCGUAGAUAUUAGGAGGAACACCAGUGGCGAAGGCGGCCUGCUGGGCUUUAACUGACGCUGAGGCACGAAAGCAUGGGGAGCAAAC